AUCUUAGUACUGUUGCCAAGACACUCUGACACUUGCUCAGAGACACUCGGCUGCUGCGGCUGCCGCUGCCGCUGCUCAGAAAUGCUUUGACUUCCCACACUCCAGUGCCACACCAGGGCUGUCCCUGGCUGCCAACACCUUCGCUUUUGCUUCUCCAUGGUAUUGGAUUUGCCCUUCUUCUCUGCAGGGGUAUCUACCUGUGUCUGGAAGAUGGGGAAAGCAAAGCAAAACAAACAAAAACCCAACACACACACAAAAAAAAAUAGAGCCUGAACAUUUCUUUCGAGUAGAAAUAUUGUAUUGCUGCGUAUUCGAUAUGCUGGCUGGGUACCACCCACACGCUUAAUGCAGCCUCACACCAGCACCACCAACUGCUUUCUCAGCCACGGCGCUGAUUUUGACUUGUCUUCCCAAAGCGGCACAAAACGCGGCACCGCCCGCCUCCGGGGCCUCUCCUGCUCCCCUGCCCAGCGGCAGGCAGCCCCGCAGCGCCCGGCAGUCCGUGCUCCCCUGCACUGGCUGCUGUGGGAGGAACUUCCACAGCCGGGAGUGCAAAGCGGGGGCCGAGAGCCAGAGCCCGGAGAAAGGCGCUCAUGGCACCGGCCCGGGCCGCAGCCCCGACCCCCGCCCGGCCCCGCGAAGCCCGCGGGAGCGCUGCGCCAACACCGCCGCCCCGUGGCCGCCGCCGCCCGGCCGUCGUCCGCUGGCGCCUUCCCUCCCCGCCACCCCCUUUUUGUGUCCCCCCAGAAGGGAAAGGCGCAGGGCUCCCUGCUGCCUGCGGGGACGGCGGGCACGGCCCGCGGCGGCCCCGAGCGGUGGCAGCCAGCGAGCUCCUUCAGAGGCUCUUUCCAAGAACGGGAGGUGAUCCUCUGUGUUUACAGCCUGUGGAGACCGAUGCAUCAAUGGGCUGGUGGCAUCCCCAAAGACCACUAAAAGCAGCAGAGCCACACCAGUGGCAAAUGGGAAGAAACAGUGAAGAUUUACCAAGAGAAAGUGGAACUUAGCAAUCAUUCUCAACCCAAAUUCCACCUUCCUGAAGUCACAGUUUCCUUCCAGCACCUACAGCAAAUGACGCAGGAUCUGGCCUCCAGGGAACAGACUCAUUCCUUGUGCAACUCUAGCUCCGUCCCUGAUUGAUCCUGGACACCUCAGAAGGAAGGGCUUCAUCCUAAAAAAAGCUAAUCUGUUACCAUAUUUUAGCCUCACAAGCUGAGAGGGAAACUUUCCAAGGGAAGAUGAAACAUUCCCUUUAUUGUGAUUGUUGCUACUCUGGCAACAGAAGAGACCCAAGAAUACAAAGAGAGGGGAUGCAUGGUGAUGGUUACAGACACAUCUCCCUCAUUAUUUUCCACUCCUGAACACCAGAAACAACUGGAAAACCAAGCCACUCCUAUGAAAACCAUGCAAGAGAAAAAGAAACGUGAUGUUUUCUUGCUUUGAAUACACACCUGCUUAAAUAUCUAAUGCUUCUGAACUGAAAAUGUACAACUUAAGAAUAAGUGCUCUCUAUCAAAUGCUGCAUGCAUUCCACCUGCUCGUAAAACGUACACCUGUGACUUACUGCAGUGGGUUUCUUCCAGCACUGUACAUUCCGUGCUUUGUCAUGAGAGAUUUUUAGUGCUUAAAAAUAAAGCCAGGCAGACUGUUGUCUCACCCUAAACAUAGUCCUCAAAGAACUCUUCAGCUACUGUCCUGCAUGUUCUUUACGUGGCAACAUGGAGAAAGCAAGUAACUGGACAUUUUUAAGGGCUAUUCAAAUAUGGCUGGGCUAGGUUUUCAGUGAUCACAUGUAACAUAAGGGAUGCAUGAAUGGCAAAUCCCCCACAUUGAAGUAAUGCAGCUGUUUUGUUUUGUUUGUUCGUUUUGCUACUUAAAGGUCCUAAUUGGUCCUCUUCCACUAUUUUAUCCUGAUUGUAGCCAGUCCCUGACUUCAUUCAUGGUUACUUACAGCAAUGCAGGGGAAAGGCAUGUUUGUGACAGGCAGAAAGGACAGCAGCAGCUCAAGGUACAGCAGAGAAACAGUGUGGAGGUACAUCCAAACUCAUACCAAGAACAUACCUGGUGCACUUGCCUUAUAUAUGCUGAGAAAGCACUGGGGCAGCGCUGGGACAAUGGCCACAUGGGAUGCAUAUUUUUGUGGGAAGCUGAAAAUGGGCUGGUUAAAGAGCAAUUAAGACUCACUUCCCCUUUACUUUUCAUUGUAUUACUUGGCUCAUUUUUACAUUUAAUAACAAUUGAUAGAGCAUAACAAAACAUAACAUUAAGAAUGAUCUUACAAAUAAGGGUUCUCUGGUCUGAAUACUCUACAGCUCCAUGUUGGUAUAUCGUAUUUUAUUUCCUAAGUGGUGUUAAAUUGGUGAUUAUGCUCAUUCCACUCUCUUUGAGAGGCAGACAGGCUUUCUUAUCCCAGUUUUAAAGAUGGAGAAACUGAGGCAAAGGGGGAUUAACAGUGAAUUGACCAUGACCAUACAGCAGUUGUAGGACCUCAUCCUACAGCUUUCAGUUCUUGUUCCAUCAUCUGUGCAGCAUCCUGUAAAUGAUACAAAACCUCUGUGAUUUUGUCCAAAACCUAGUCAAUCUGAUACAAGUUCAUAUAAACAUUCUGAAAGACUGGAGAAAAAUUAAGAUUAUUUUUUUUUUAUGUCCUUUACUGAAGGUCUCUUGCUUUAUAGCCAACUACACUGUCAAUAUGACUCAAUAUCCAAUCUAGAUGCAGGUGGGAGAACGUGACAGAGCAGUAUGAAGACGAUUCUGAGUCAGAGUGUGCUGUCCCAAAGCUGUACAUCUGUAAUUUAUAUUUAGAUAAUUGUCUUUACUAACAGCUUUAGAGACACAAAGCCUAGCCAAAGGCUAUAAAGGGGACAUAAGUCAGAAUGUGAAGCAGUAGGACAGGGGAGAAUUAGGCUGAUCAGCCUCCUCUAUACAGUUUGGCUGGUGUGACAGGGACCACCACGAAGCCCACGUUUUCUGUUCUUGUAGGUGAGCUGUGGAGGAGCUGUCCUCUUGCUUAGUAAUAAGUGUGUCUCUGCAUCUCCACAUCACAGACUGUUUUUCUUAUACUUCAUCAGAAGUGGAUGUGUAGCACUUAGCCUAUCCUUUGGCUACAUCCUAGAGUCACAGGAAAUAGUGCUGGCUGACAGAGACCUGAAGGACACCUAGUCCAUUUUUCUACUCCAAGGUAGGCUUAGCAAUACUUACAUCACACCUGACACAUUUAUCCAGCUUGCUUUUAAAAUCCCUCAACACUGGAAAGCCUACACCCUUCCCAGGUGACCCUAGUGCUCCACAUUGCUAUUAGAAAGAUGUUACUGUUGAAAGGUCUUGCUAGUAUCUGACUUAAAUGUCCCUUUAUUUCACUUAAGGCUGUCUAUGUAAAUAUAGAUAAAUAAAAGUAUUUCCAUAUGUGCCAUAUACCAGAUGCUAGCCCAUUUCAAUAGCUCCAUGUGUUUUCUUCUGCUUUCACUUGCAACUAUCUUGUUUUGCCCAGUUUUCUAUUAAGACACAUAAAGAGGGAAACAAACAAACAAACAAACAACAGCAACAACAACAAUAAACCACACACACACACACACACACACAAAAAAAAAAAAAACACAACAACACAUUAAAAACAUUUACACUAUUCUGGGAAUUACAAUCUGCCAAAAUCUCAGCAACUCCAGGCAUAUUUACUAAACUCCCAGUAAUGUUUUAUUUUGUACUUAAACUUGUUUAUUUCUUAAACCAGUGCUUUAGCAAAGAACCCAUACAUUUUAUAGAUUUAAGUGUGAUAAUUAAAUUACAAUUUCCUAUUUUUCUAAAACAGUUGAUUCACAAAUUAUACCUCUUUUUUCUUUUGCUCCCUUGAAUCCUGAAUGAUAUAAUUGUUUUUCUAGUAUCACUGGGGUUAUUCUAAUAUGAACUUUAUAUUAUGUACACAGGGUAGCACCUCCACAGCUAUGUUUCUUCUUUGGCUCACAGACUUUUUUCCAAGGCAAAUAUUGUUUAAGUAUGUCCUCUACUUAUUUGGAAAAAUUCAUGAACUUGACAAAAUUUGUGCAUUUCCUGUUUUUUAGGAAGCUGUAUCAUCCAGUUAUCUGAUACAACUGCAUUCAGUUAACAACCAGACUAGGACACCAGGCAGAUUUAUUGUGCUGUCUUGUCUGCUUGUUUUGUUUCUUAAAAUGUAGUAUGAAAGCUGUAAAUUGGCUCGUCUGCUUAUAUUAGCUGUAACAUUUCAGUACAUCAGGACUAUUUAGGCCGCAUUUCAAAAUAAAAACUUAAUCCAUCUUUCUGCAAGGAAA